rnacentral:rRNA from 1 species
UACUGCUCAGUAACACGUAGCUAACCUACCCUUAAGUCGAGGAUACUCUCGGGAAACUGAGGUUAAUACUCGAUAGGAGAUGUACCCUGGAAUGAUUCAUCUCUCAAAUUCGUGCUUAAGGAUGGGGCUGCGGCGGAUUAGGUUGUUGGCGGGGUAAAGGCCCACCAAGCCAAUGAUCCGUAAGGGCUCUUAGCGGAGAGGCCCUGAGAGGGAAUCUGAGACACUAUUCCCAGCCCUACGGGGUGCAGCAGUUAGGAAUUUUCUGCAAUGUACGAAAGUAUGACAGAUUGAGUCAGAGUGCUUUUCAUAUGAAAAGCUUUUGCCAAAUGUAAAAAGUUUGGCGAAUAAGGACUGGGUAAGACGAGUGCCAGCAGCCGCGGUAAUACAAUAA